AGACCAGAUGUUGGUGUAAAAACUGCUUGAGAAGCAUCUGUGAGAGAUACCGCGCUGUCCGUCUCCCAGGAAGGAAGUUCGUAUCUCUUGUGCGUGUUCUAAUUUUAAAAUUAACACAGGACUCCAAAAAUUCAACUGAGAAAUGGGAAUGAUCUUCCAGGUCCAAUGAUAUUAGUGUCUGGACCAAAGUCACAGCUACUGGCUUCCUGAAGACAGUGAUAUACAGACUGGGUCUCCACCAUGUGCAUGAGCUAGGAAAGGGCAGAAGAAAGAACUGGAGGAGAAUUGGUCCCGAUAGAAGGGAAGAGAUGUGAGAAGGAUAGAAGAGAAAGAGCAAGAAUCUGUGCCUGGAAAACAGACCACAGACCCACAGGGAUGAGUACAUUGGAAGCAUUGGAGUGGAGUAAACAUCUUCAAGUUUCAAGUAGUGGAUUAAGAGCAGCAGCAGAAAAGCCAUAAAAACCCAGAUGAUGAAGACUCUUUAAAGG
rnacentral:lncRNA from 1 species